rnacentral:rRNA from 1 species
GAUGAACGCUGGCGGCGUGCCUAAUACAUGCAAGUCGAGCGAACGGACGAGAAGCUUGCUUCUCUGAUGUUAGCGGCGGACGGGUGAGUAACACGUGGAUAACCUACCUAUAAGACUGGGAUAACUUCGGGAAACCGGAGCUAAUACCGGAUGAUAUUUUGAACCACAUGGUUCAAAAGUGAAAGACGGUCUUGCUGUCACUUAUAGAUGGAUCCGCGCUGCAUUAGCUAGUUGGUAAGGUAACGGCUUACCAAGGCAACGAUGCAUAGCCGACCUGAGAGGGUGAUCGGCCACACUGGAACUGAGACACGGUCCAGACUCCUACGGGAGGCAGCAGUAGGGAAUCUUCCGCAAUGGGCGAAAGCCUGACGGAGCAACGCCGCGUGAGUGAUGAAGGUCUUCGGAUCGUAAAACUCUGUUAUUAGGGAAGAACAUAUGUGUAAGUAACUGUGCACAUCUUGACGGUACCUAAUCAGAAAGCCACGGCUAACUACGUG